AGAUGUGAGGGCAAUCUGGCUGUGACAUCUUUCACCCCAUUGAUCACCAGGGUUGAUUCUGCUGUUCUGGCUGGGUAGGCAGGUGUCUUCUUCCCUUCCUCCCUCACCACUCCUUGUGCAUCCCUCCCAAAGCUGCGCACUCAGUCAAAAAGGACGACCAUUCCUGAUAGAGGAAGACUAGCAGAUGGC
rnacentral:snRNA from 1 species